GAAGAUCGAAAAUAUAAAGCAAUGAGUCAACUAGUCAAUGUGAAACUAGGAGUGAUGCAAUACGAGCAUGGAAGAAAACAGAAAAAACAAAACGUACAUUUAUGCUUCAAUUUAACUGUUAUCAAAGCAAGUUCUGGGAGUUCUUACAAGCUAACCAAUUGUUUUCAAAAUGUUCAAAGCAAAAGUACUAUCUGCAAGGGUGUUCAUGGAACCAAAUAUUGGAAACAACUCAAGUUACACUUGGAGAAGUAUUUGUAUGUGUGCUGCUUAAAGAAGGCAUUAUACAUUAUACUUCACUUCAUUCCACUGAAACAUUGUAUAUUCUAG